UUCGUACAGACUGCUAAUGCUAAAAAUAAACUGCGAAAAACAAAUAAGUGUAAAAAUAAGAUAAAUUAUAAAAACAUAUUAAAAGGGAAAAAUAACCAAACUAAAACAUGGAAAUGCAUAAGUAUAAAUAUAGAAGAAUGUGCAUCAAAUACAAAUAAGUGUAAAAAUAAGAUAAAUUAUAAAAACAUAUUAAAAGGGAAAAAUAACCAAACUAAAACAUGGAAAUGCAUAAGUAUAAAUAUAGAAGAAUGUGCAUCAAAAUGCACUGAUCA
rnacentral:lncRNA from 1 species